CUUGACCGAGCCGAGGAGCAGCGGCCGGCCGGCGGGCCGGUCCUGGCCGUAGGUGGCCAGGAGGGCCUGGGCCUC
rfam:Streptomyces sp. CMAA 1322 contig12, whole genome shotgun sequence.